AACGCUGGCGGCGUGCUUAACACAUGCAAGUCGAGCGAUGAAGUUCCUUCGGGAACGGAUUAGCGGCGGACGGGUGAGUAACACGUGGGUAACCUGCCUCAUAGAGGGGAAUAGCCUUUCGAAAGGAAGAUUAAUACCGCAUAAGAUUGUAGUGCCGCAUGGCAUAGCGAUUAAAGGAGUAAUCCGCUAUGAGAUGGACCCGCGUCGCAUUAGCUAGUUGGUGAGGUAACGGCUCACCAAGGCGACAAUGCGUAGCCGACCUGAGAGGGUGAUCGGCCACAUUGGGACUGAGACACGGCCCAGACUCCUACGGGAGGCAGCAGUGGGGAAUAUUGCACAAUGGGGGAAACCCUGAUGCAGCAACGCCGCGUGAGUGAUGACGGUCUUCGGAUUGUAAAGCUCUGUCUUCUGGGACGAUAA
rnacentral:rRNA from 1 species